rnacentral:rRNA from 1 species
AGAGUUUGAUCAUGGCUCAGACGAACGCUGGCGGCGUGCCUAAUACAUGCAAGUCGAACGAGAGCGACCCGGUGCUGUACUGGUCAAUCUAGUGGCGAACGGGUGAGUAACACGUGGGUAACCUGCCCAUCAGAGGGGGAUAACAUUCGGAAACGGAUGCUAAAACCGCAUAGGUCUUCGAACCGCAUGGUUUGAAGAGGAAAAGAGGCGCAAGCUUCUGCUGAUGGAUGGACCCGCGGUGCAUUAGCUAGUUGGUGAGGUAACGGCUCACCAAGGCCGUGAUGCAUAGCCGACCUGAGAGGGUGAUCGGCCACAUUGGGACUGAGACACGGCCCAAACUCCUACGGGAGGCAGCAGUAGGGAAUCUUCCGCAAUGGACGCAAGUCUGACGGAGCAACGCCGCGUGAGUGAAGAAGGUUUUCGGAUCGUAAAACUCUGUUGUUAGAGAAGAACAAGUGCUAGAGUAACUGUUAGCACCUUGACGGUAUCUAACCAGAAAGCCACGGCUAACUACGUGCCAGCAGCCGCGGUAAUACGUAGGUGGCAAGCGUUGUCCGGAUUUAUUGGGCGUAAAGCGAGCGCAGGCGGUUCCUUAAGUCUGAUGUGAAAGCCCCCGGCUCAACCGGGGAGGGUCAUUGGAAACUGGGGAACUUGAGUGCAGAAGAGGAGAGUGGAAUUCCAUGUGUAGCGGUGAAAUGCGUAGAUAUAUGGAGGAACACCAGUGGCGAAGGCGACUCUCUGGUCUGUAACUGACGCUGAGGCUCGAAAGCGUGGGUAGCAAACAGAAUUAGAUACCCUGGUAGUCCACGCCGUAAACGAUGAGUGCUAAGUGUUGGAGGGUUUCCGCCCUUCAGUGCUGCAGUUAACGCAUUAAGCACUCCGCCUGGGGAGUACGACCGCAAGGUUGAAACUCAAAGGAAUUGACGG